UUGACUUUUUUGAUUUUGAAUAAAAACGAAUAUAAAAAAAAAACUCUUCUUAUCAGUUUAAUAUCUGAUACGUCCUCUACCCGAGGACCAUAUAUUAAUCUGAUUUUUGGAAGAGAGAGACGGAAGAGGGGCUUGCUCACCCAGUGGAACUGACUGACUGAUUGACUGACUGACUGACUCUGAUGAAAUCUU